rnacentral:rRNA from 1 species
AAAGAGUUCCUUCGGGAACUUGAGUAGAGUGGCGCACGGGUGAGUAACGCGUAGAUAAUCUACCCUUAUAUAUGGAAUAACUGGGCGAAAGCUCAGCUAAUACCGUAUACGCUUUUCCGGGCGCGAGACCGGGGGAGGAAAGGUGGCCUCUGAUUCAAGCUAUCGUAUAAGGAUGAGUCUGCGUACCAUUAGCUAGUAGGUGGGGUAAUAGCCCACCUAGGCGACGAUGGUUAGCGGGUCUGAGAGGAUGAUCCGCCACACUGGAACUGGAACACGGACCAGACUCCUACGGGAGGCAGCAGUGAGGAAUUUUGCGCAAUGGGGGUAACCCUGACGCAGCGACGCCGCGUGGGUGAUGAAGGCUUUCGAGUCGUAAAGCCCUGUCAAGUGGGAAGAACCGUCAAUAUGCUAAUACCAUGUUGAUCUGACGGUACCACUAAAGGAAGCACCGGCUAACUCCGUGCCAGCAGCCGCGGUAAUACGGAGGGUGCAAGCGUUGUUCGGAAUUACUGGGCGUAAAGGGCGCGUAGGCGGCGCUGUAAGUCAGAUGUGAAAGUCCACGGCUUAACCGUGGAAGUGCAUCCGAUACUGCAGCGCUUGAGUAUCGGAGGGGAAAGUAGAAUUCCCGGUGUAGAGGUGAAAUUCGUAGAUAUCGGGAGGAAUACCGGUGGCGAAGGCGACUUUCUGGACGAAUACUGACGCUGAUGCGCGAAAGCGUGGGGAGCAAACAGGAUUAGAUACCCUGGUAGUCCACAGCUGUAAACGAUGUACACUAGAUGUAGGGGGUGUUGACCCCUCCUGUGUCGCAGCUAACGCAUUAAGUGUACCGCCUGGGGAGUACGGUCGCAAGAUUAAAACUCAAAGGAAUUGACGGGGGCCCGCACAAGCGGUGGAGUAUGUGGUUUAAUUCGACGCAACGCGAAGAACCUUACCAGGGCUUGACGUGUAGCUGCACGCCCGCUGAAAGGCGGGAAGCCUUCGAGGGUGCUACACAGGUGCUGCAUGGCUGUCGUCAGUUCGUGCCGUGAGGUGUUGGGUUAAGUCCCGCAACGAACGCAACCCCUGUGUUUAGUUGCCACCGGCGGUGAUGAGCCGCCGAGCACUCUAAACAGACUGCCCGUACAAGCGGGAGGAAGGUGGGGAUGACGUCAAGUCAGUAUGGCCUUUAUGCCCUGGGCUGCACACGUGCUACAAUGGCCGGCACAGAGGGGGGCAAGACCGUGAGGUGGAGCAAAUCCUCAAAACCGGCCCCAGUUCAGAUUGAAGGCUGCAACUCGCCUUCAUGAAGUCGGAUUCGCUAGUAACGGCGCAUCAGCUACGGCGCCGUGAAUACGUUCCCGGGCCUUGUACACACCGCCCGUCACAUCAUGAAAGCCGUCUGCACCCGAAGUCGCUGAGCUAACCCGCAAGGGAGGCAGGCGCCGAAGGUGUGGGUGGUGAUUGGGAUGAAGUCGUAACAAGGUA